rnacentral:rRNA from 1 species
UACGUAGGGUGCGAGCGUUAAUCGGAAUUACUGGGCGUAAAGCGUGCGCAGGCGGCUAGCCAAGUCAGAUGUGAAAGCCCCGGGCUCAACCCGGGAACUGCGUUUGAAACUGGCAGGCUAGAGUUUGGCAGAGGGGGGUGGAAUUCCACGUGUAGCAGUGAAAUGCGUAGAGAUGUGGAGGAACACCGAUGGCGAAGGCAGCCCCCUGGGCCAAAACUGACGCUCAGGCACGAAAGCGUGGGGAGCAAACAGG